AGAUACCAGCUGGCUGCAACUGUUUAUUAAAAACACAGCACUGUGCAAACACGAAAGUGGACGUAUACGGUGUGACGCCUGCCCGGUGCCGGAAGGUUAAUUGAUGGGGUCAGCGCAAGCGAAGCUCCUGAUCGAAGCCCCGGUAAACGGCGGCCGUAACUAUAACGGUCCUAAGGUAGCGAAAUUCCUUGUCGGGUAAGUUCCGACCUGCACGAAUGGCGUAAUGAUGGCCAGGCUGUCUCCACCCGAGACUCAGUGAAAUUGAACUCGCUGUGAAGAUGCAGUGUACCCGCGGCAAGACGGAAAGACCCCGUGAACCUUUACUAUAGCUUGACACUGAACAUUGAGCCUUGAUGUGUAGGAUAGGUGGGAGGCUUUGAAGUGUGGACGCCAGUCUGCAUGGAGCCGACCUUGAAAUACCACCCUUUAAUGUUUGAUGUUCUAACGUGGACCCGUUACCCGGGUUGCGGACAGUGUCUGGUGGGUAGUUUGACUGGGGCGGUCUCCUCCUAAAGAGUAACGGAGGAGCACGAAGGUUGGCUAAUCCUGGUCGGACAUCAGGAGGUUAGUGCAAUGGCAUAAGCCAGCUUGACUGCGAGCGUGACGGCGCGAGCAGGUGCGAAAGCAGGUCAUAGUGAUCCGGUGGUUCUGAAUGGAAGGGCCAUCGCUCAACGGAUAAAAGGUACUCCGGGGAUAACAGGCUGAUACCGCCCAAGAGUUCAUAUCGACGGCGGUGUUUGGCACCUCGAUGUCGGCUCAUCACAUCCUGGGGCUGAAGUAGGUCCCAAGGGUAUGGCUGUUCGCCAUUUAAAGUGGUACGCGAGCUGGGUUUAGAACGUCGUGAGACAGUUCGGUCCCUAUCUGCCGUGGGCGCUGGAGAACUGAGGGGGGCUGCUCCUAGUACGAGAGGACCGGAGUGGACGCAUCACUGGUGUUCGGGUUGUCAUGCCAAUGGCACUGCCCGGUAGCUAAAUGCGGAAGAGAUAAGUGCUGAAAGCAUCUAAGCACGAAACUUGCCCCGAGAUGAGUUCUCCCUGAGACUUUAGGUCUCCUGAAGGAACGUUGAAGACGACGACGUUGAUAGGCCGGGUGUGUAAGCGCAGCGAUGCGUUGAGCUAACCGGUACUAAUGAACCGUGAGGCUUAACCUUACAACGCCGAAG
rnacentral:rRNA from 1 species